UAGCAUUAGGCUACUGUGUAGUUAGCAUCUCAUGUAGACGCACCCUGUGUGAUACAUGUUGAAUGUGUUAUUCUAUCAUUAUAGAGGCUGCCUUCUAUUUAGGGACCUACCUAGCAGUGGUAGCAAAAGCAAAGAGUUUUAACAAUGGAAAAAAAAAUCAGUGUGAAAGACAUUUGUAUAUAGGUUGUAUAUGUAAUGUACAUAAAUAUUCAUUUAAAACGUGUUUCAUUAACCAGAUAAUUUGAUUUUUAGGAAUGGGUUUUGGUCCCAACUGGUUGGAAUGAUUGCUGCUCUAUUCUAUUUACCUCUGACGUAGAGGCUGCCUAGGAUAUAGUCAUAACUGAGCUGAGUCCCCUGGAUAAAAGCCAGGUGUUGACCAAGGAAUGAUGUGGUGUGUUGAAAAGGAUGUGCUGUCUAUAUGACCUGGUUACAGGGGAUCCAGGGGGAACGUAGAAACCUUGGAUGGGAGCUGACUCCCAAACAGGGAGAGGACGUGUGAACGACAAGCACGGAAGAGUCACACAAGGCUUGUCCACGCGGUGACAGAUUGAAUGCAAGAGGCAGAAGAAAAUUAUGGGUGAGAUUUUAAAGAGGCUGCCAAGGAACUUUGGGUUGAGAGUUCAGCUUUGUAAUAAAUAAAUAGAUCAUGAAUUAGA